rnacentral:rRNA from 1 species
CCUACGGGGUGCAGCAGUGGGGAAUAUUGCACAAUGGGGGAAACCCUGAUGCAGCGACGCCGCGUGAGUGAAGAAGUAAUUCGUUACGUAAAGCUCUAUCAGCAGGGAAGAAAAUGACGGUACCUGAGUAAGAAUCCCCGGCUAACUACGUGCCAGCAGCCGCGGUAAUACGUAGGGGGCAAGCGUUAUCCGGAUUUACUGGGUGUAAAGGGAGCGUAGACGGUGCGCCAAGUCUGGAGUGAAAUGGUGCAGCGUAACUGUGGAAUUGCAUUGGAAACUGGCGAACUAGAGUGCGGGAGGGGUAAGCGGAAUUCGUAGUGUAGCGGUGAAAUGCGUAGAUAUUAGGAGGAACACCGAUGGCGAAGGCAGCUUACUAGACCGUAACUGACGUUGAGGCUCGAAAGCGUGGGGAGCAAACAGGAUUAGAUACCCUGGUAGUC